UACGUAGGGAGCAAGCGUUGUUCGGAUUUACUGGGCGUAAAGGGCGCGUAGGCGGCAUGACAAGUCACUUGUGAAAUCUCUGGGCUUAACCCAGAACGGCCAAGUGAUACUGUUGCGCUAGAGUGCGGAAGGGGCAAUCGGAAUUCUCGGUGUAGCGGUGAAAUGCGUAGAUAUCGAGAGGAACACCUGAGGUGAAGACGGGUUGCUGGGCCGACACUGACGCUGAGUGCGCGAAAGCCAGGGGAGCAAACGGG
rnacentral:rRNA from 1 species